UACGGAGGGUGCAAGCGUUAAUCGGAAUUACUGGGCGUAAAGCGUGCGUAGGCGGUUCGUUAAGUCUGUUGUGAAAUCCCCGGGCUCAACCUGGGAAUGGCAAUGGAUACUGGCAAGCUAGAGUGUGUCAGAGGAUGGUGGAAUUCCCGGUGUAGCGGUGAAAUGCGUAGAGAUCGGGAGGAACAUCAGUGGCGAAGGCGGCCAUCUGGGACAACACUGACGCUGAGGCACGAAAGCGUGGGGAGCAAACAGG
rnacentral:rRNA from 1 species